rnacentral:rRNA from 1 species
CGUCAAGUCAUCAUGGCCCUUACGGCCAGGGCUACACACGUGCUACAAUGGCGCGUACAAAGGGCUGCAAGCUAGCGAUAGUGAGCGAAUCCCAGAAAGCGCGUCGUAGUCCGGAUUGGAGUCUGCAACUCGACUCCAUGAAGUCGGAAUCGCUAGUAAUCGCGAAUCAGAAUGUCGCGGUGAAUACGUUCCCGGGCCUU